rnacentral:rRNA from 1 species
CCUACGGGAGGCAGCAGUGAGGAAUAUUGGUCAAUGGACGAGAGGCUGAACCAGCCAAGUCGCGUGAAGGAAGACUGCCCUAUGGGUUGUAAACCUCUUUUAUAAAGGAGUAAAAUGAGGCACGUGUGCCUUUUGUCACGUACCUUAAGAAUAAGGAUCGGCUAACUCCGUGCCAGCAGCCGCGGUAAUACGGAGGAUCCGAGCGUUAUCCGGAUUUAUUGGGUUUAAAGGGUGCGUAGAUGGGUUGUUAAGUCAGUUGUGAAAGUUUGCGGCUCAACCGUAAGAUUGCAAUUGAAACUGGCAGUCUUGAGUGCAGGUGAGGUAAGCGGAAUUCGUGGUGUAGCGGUGAAAUGCUUAGAUAUCACGAAGAACCCCGGUUGCGAAGGCAGCUUACUAAACUGUGACUGACGUUGAUGCUCGAAAGUGUGGGUAUCAAACAGGAUUAGAUACCCCAGUAGUC